rnacentral:lncRNA from 1 species
UCGCCUUCACCUCCACAAGUUCCCAUUUAUAUUUUUCGUUACGUUCCUUGUAUGCUUCACAAUUCCAUUAUGCUCUCCAUUUUCUAUCUUCCACCUCCUUCAGUUUCUCCCUCAUUUCUGUAAUAAUUCUAUCUCCCUCCUUUUGUAUUCUCUCCUGGAAUAACCACAUAUUAUGAAACUUUUUAUCUUCCACCUCCUUCAGUUUCUCCCUCAUUUCUGUAAAAUUCUAUCUCCCUCCUUUUGUAUUCUCUCCUGGAAUAACCACAUAUUAUGAAAAUCCUGUAAUCCCUUCCUGUAACUUUCCAGAAAACAUUGUUCCUCAACCCAUUCAUCAAAUUCACCAGUAGGUUCGUCGGGUUGCUUGUACAUCGUGUUCAUACUACACCAGUAGCGGCGUCCAGUGUCGGUACCUUCCCACCCACAAUCCAGC